GGCGAAAAGCGUCAAUGUAGGUUUAACGGCGAAUGUGGCGCGGUGCGGUGAUCACUUCAUUCUCAGCGCAGUGGGCGAAAUGACCCUUUGAUGCGGCAGAAGAUGAAAAGAAGCCCCGCAAUCAGAUUCUCACCUGUUGCAUUAAAGCAGCGGUCUUCACUCCCUGAACACUUCACUGUGUUUGAGCAGUAAAGUACAAUACCUGGAGCAUCUUGGAGGUUACAGAGAUCAUUGCUACAGCACUGAGAAGAGCCUUUUCCAAUGCCGAGGUUGACGGAUCCACUUUGACAGAUCGCUGGAGCACAACUUUUAACCUUCACUGUA